rnacentral:rRNA from 1 species
UACGGAAGGGGCAAGCGUUGUUGGGAAUCAUUGGGCGUAAAGAGCUCGUAGGCGGUCUGUUGCGUCCGCUGUGAAAACUCGGGGCUUAACCCCGAGCCUGCAGUGGAUACGGGCAGACUAGAGGUAGGUAGGGGAGAAUGGAAUUCCCGGUGUAGCGGUGAAAUGCGCAGAUAUCGGGAGGAACACCGGUGGCGAAGGCGGUUCUCUGGGCCUUACCUGACGCUGAGGAGCGAAAGCGUGGGGAGCGAACAGG